AUUCACCAAAACCUCUACUCCUAAAAUCUCUCCACCACUCCUUAAAAUUCUCCAACCAAAUACUCUAUUAACUCCCUUUAUACAUCUCCCACAAUCUCAACAAAUCGCCGUUCCUGCAGCUUUUCUUCCCUUCAUUGAAGAGUGUGGAGGAGAAACCUAGAGAAUUGUGAUCUUUUUCAAUACCUUCUCUUCGGCAAGUUCUACUUCUUCCGUGAAGGGUGAACUUGUGCACGUUGUUGCGGUUGGAACACAAAGUGAUUGGGGAGUUAAGCAUUUGAGGUGGGCUUUCUUUUUAAAUAAGGACUAUGUCCUAAAUAUAUUUUGGUGUGAAAAGGAGGUAAAAAUGUUUGUCUUGCCAUGUUUUGUGUUUUGAAUGAACCUAUCUGAAGUGGCUAUGCCAUGUAUGUUUAAUCGAAUUCGGGUCCCAGUAGGGCCGCAAACCCUGCUCGGACUAGUGUACACCCCGUAGAUCGUGUGCUAUCUCUUUGGAGUUGGCCGGUCUAGUGACUUGGUUCGUGGCCACGUUCCUUGUCAUGUAUGUUCAGAUAUGGUGAUGGUGAAUGUGGAUGGAAAAUGGUUGGCCAACCGAACUUGUGAAAUAUAUGUUUUUGGUGCACUUGGGUCUCUUUUAAUUAAAACCCCCAAGAUUGAGUGGCGAUGGACGUGGAGGAUGUUGAGCAGAGUCCAUGGAUUGUUUUGUCAUGGUUAAUAAUUGUUGGAUUUGUCGUGUCUUCAUACUUGGCAUUUUCCGUGUCUUGAACGCUUCCGCUAAGAGUCCUUUUCUUUAGAAUUGUUUAUUCGUGGUGAGUCUAACUCGUUUGAAAAAUUGUUUAUUUUCCAUUCUUUAUUUUCUUAGAGUUGGUAUUAUUGUUAGGAUAAUUUUAUGACGUUUCAAGGUUAAUUCAGUUAUUAAAUUUUUUUGGUCAAAUGUGUAUGUUUUUCCCCUUUCUUCCCCGCUUCUUUAAUCCUCCCCUAGUCGCGAUCAACCGUGUUUUCUAUCCUUAGAAAAAGCGGGCGUGACAUUAGCAGCAGUCGGAGUCGUCGUUUCCACCUCUACUUUCAUCUCUUCCUCCUCGCCAAGGAAUGAGGGACCUGGAUCUGCCUAGAAGUGUUCGUAGUUUGUAUUUUUCUUACACCCCGAGGGGUCAAAACAAUUUCCAUUCUAUUUUUAGUUCAUCUUUUCCAUAGCUUAGUUUUUUUUAAUGUUUUUCUCCUAGUUGCUACUCUAUUUAUAUUUUUGUUGUUGAUCGCUCUUUAAAUCCUUGUUUGGAAUUCUGUUUUAGUUACAUUCUUCGAAGAUCGUUUAUGAAAUGGAGUUUUUAAUGCAA